GACGAACGCUGGCGGCGUGCUUAACACAUGCAAGUCGAACGGAAAGGCCCUGCUUUUGUGGGGUGCUCGAGUGGCGAACGGGUGAGUAACACGUGAGUAACCUGCCCUUGACUUUGGGAUAACUUCAGGAAACUGGGGCUAAUGCCGGAUAGGAGCUCCUGCUGCAUGGUGGGGGAUGGAAAGUUUCGGCGGUUGGGGAUGGACUCGCGGCUUAUCAGCUUGUUGGUGGGGUAGUGGCUUACCAAGGCUUUGACGGGUAGCCGGCCUGAGAGGGUGACCGGCCACAUUGGGACUGAGAUACGGCCCAGACUCCUACGGGAGGCAGCAGUGGGGAAUAUUGCACAAUGGGCGGAAGCCUGAUGCAGCAACGCCGCGUGCGGGAUGACGGCCUUCGGGUUGUAAACCGCUUUCGCCUGUGACGAAGCGUGAGUGACGGUAAUGGGUAAAGAAGCACCGGCUAACUACGUG
rnacentral:rRNA from 1 species